rnacentral:lncRNA from 1 species
UUGAUGUCGUUUUAGGGUACCCGAAUGUUGAAAUGUUUUCCCACAAUCCUUACACAAAUAAUUUCUUUCACCCGUGUGAGUCUUCUUAUGAAUAAGUAGUCCUUCUCUAAAAUUUAAUGCUUUAGAACACACUUCAUAAACAUGUUGUGGUACUUUAUCAUGAACUUGCUUAUGUUUUUGACAUCAUAAGGAGUUUCAAAACCUUUACCAUAAAUGUCACAUAAAUGUUCUUUAGUAUUAACAGCACCGUUUCCAUGUUUAACUUUCAUGUGCCUAUCUAGUCCCCUUUUUUCAAGCCAAGAUUUUUACAAGUUUUACAAGUAAAUAAUUCUCUCUUCCACAGACCAGUGAACUCUAUUCAGAUGCUGUUGCAAACUAUGUUUAAAUGCCAAUUUCCUUUUGCAUAUAUAUCACAUUCAAAUUUAUGGGCACCAUUUCCAUCUUGAUUAAGUUUUUU